ACCUGGGGGCACUGGGCCUGUGCUGAAUUACUUAGAGGAGCCAGCCACGCAGCUGUGCCCAGCCCUGCCCUGCCCUGCUGAUUUGCUUGUGCCCAGAGCACAGCCCAUUGCCCUGAGGACUUCUCAAAAGGCUGCUCACAGGGGUGCAAGAGUCAGUCCAAGUCAGGGCACAGCAUGGACAUGAGGACCCCUGCUCAGCUCCUGGGACUCCUGCUGCUCUGGCUCCCAGGUGGCAGAUGUGACAUCCAGUUGACCCAGUCACCAUCCUUGCCUGCAUCUUUAGGAGCCACAGUCACCAUCACUUGCCAAGCCAGCCAGGGUAUUAGCAAUUAUUUACACUGGUAUCAGCAGACCCCAGGGAAAGCUCCUAAACUCCUAAUCAGAUACGCAACCACUUUGGAGUCUGGGGUCCCCUCCAGGUUCAGUGGCAGUGGAUCUGGGACAGAUUUCACUCUCACCAUCAGCAACCUUCAGCCUGAAGAUGUUGCCACUUAUUUUUGUCAUCAGAGUAAUAAUUACCCUCCCACAGUGGUACAAGCCAUGACAAAAACCUCUCAGGGAAGCAGAAGUGUGAUUGAGUUGCUGCAGCUGCUCCCGCUGGUGCCUCCACCUGAUAAGAGCAUUUCUCAGUUGCAACCAGCUUUGAAGGCUAUUUGA